CGUUCUUUUGAGUUGUUCAUUGCUGUGCGUUGCCAGGUCCCUUCUGCUGUAUAUCCUGGAGGUCUUCACUUCUCCGAUCCAGCAUAGUUCGGAAACCAGUGACCCAAAUUGUAGCUGGAGUUCUAUGCUUAGAAGUGUAGUAGUCAUUUUGCAGUUAGAGCGUUUAUGGAAUUGAAUGUCAUGAUAUUAUUGCAUUAAAAUCUCUAUAUUCUUUUGAGUUUUUAUAUAGUAAGCCUAUGUGAAGGCUUCGAAAUCAUUUUCAGAGAUGCGAACCUACAACUACGCGCUUGUCAAAGUCGACAAUGUAGCUUUGUAAGUAACCCUCUAACCGCCAAAAAAGUUCCCACCCCCCGAAGAUGAAUUUUACCAUACGCCGUAUCAAGAAAUUAACGUUAUGAAAAGUGACUGGUGACCGUAUUAAAUCGAAACGAAGUAAUGAAUGAAUAACCUUAAUCCUUCAGAAAAAAUGGUUUAACAUUUUGUUUCUGUUCAAAGAACAGCUCAUAAUAACUGACUAAAAUUUAAGACAAGAUCUACAAACCGGGCACCGCAACGCCUGUCGCAAAAAAAAUAACAAUAAAUAAUGUUAUUGAACCCGACAACGUCGUGAAACGUAAAAAAGAGCAAAGCACGAGUUAUCGAUACCCAUACGCACUAUCCGUCGCUGUAUAGGUGGUAUUAAUGGAUUCCUGUUCGGGGCAAUUCCACCCCACAGUGGAAUUACGUCACGGUGGUCAAUUCGAAGAAACCGCGAAAGUGUGGCAGGCAAUUAAAUUGAACAUCACCUUUCGUAUU